AGGGACGGAAUGCUAAAACGCACCUAGUUUUCUUGUUCUAUUUUCUUUCAUUUUCUCAUUUAUUUAAAUUACACGAAUCAUUUUUUAUUUUAUUUUCUUCAUCUCUGCACCUGCUCUCAAUAUUUUCUUCACAAAUGGUUUUAUCUUCUUCUCUUCUCACUUAGUAUUUCUGAUUUAGUUUUUAGGUUUCUGAUUCAAUUUUUAGGUUUCUAUUCAAUUUUUAGGUCAUGGAUUCACGAUUAUUCUGCAAAUAGAUCGUUGCUCUCUCUUAAUGAUGGACUUUCGAUUAACAGAUUGAUAUUUCCAAACGAUUUGCAAAAGUUAGGGUUUCAAGCUUGCAAAAAUUUCAUCGAUUCAAAUCACAAUCUGGAUCCCUACUAGAUCGAGAGAUUGAUAAAAAACAAGCCUCUGCGAAUAUAAUCUCAAGGUGUGUAUUGGUGCUGCAAAUGCAACUGUGGUCGCCUCUAACCAAAUAAAUAAUAUGAAUGAUGACAGUUUCGUCCAGGCAGGCGACAUUGUUGACAAUUUUUUGGUUGUUACUCUAGGAGAAGAAUGAAGGAAGUUGGAAACAGAUACGAUUUGUAAUUGGAAACAGAAUCAUAUUGAAGGAUAUCAUGAACUGUCAUCAAAAACACAAAUAUACUUUUCAACGGCAGUCUCCAGUUUUGCAGAUGAAAAUGGAGAAGGGAAAAAGAGGAUUCUCACUGCCUGGAAAAGGACUCAGGACGGUCAUUCUUCAAGUUAGUUGGCAAUUUCUCCAUUCAGGGGCAUCAUUCCAUCACCAAGCAAUGUGCUUCCUUUUGAAGGAUUGUUUUUGAAGUCCACUAAUUACAAUGUUUAGAAUCAUUUAUGGAAUUUUGGUUAUUAGUUUUACUGAAAGGCAUACUAUUAAAUGAUUGUUUAGAAUAAUAUAUGAAAAUUUUGAUUAUUAAUUUCAAUGAAAAGCAUUUUAUGUGUAA